AGAGAUAACGAACCAGCUGUCGGA
rnacentral:snRNA from 1 species